rnacentral:rRNA from 1 species
UUGUAGUCUGCAACCCGACUACAUGAAGCUGGAAUCGCUAGUAAUCGCGGAUCAGAAUGCCGCGGUGAAUACGUUCCCGGGUCUUGUACACACCGCCCGUCACACCAUGGGAGUCGGAAAUGCCCGAAGUCUGUGACCCAACCUGCAAGGGGAGGGAGCAGCCGAAGGCAGGUCGGAUGACUGGGGUGAAGUCGUAACAAGGUACC